AUGACUGGAAGCAUCAGGUUUUUGCCAGAGAAUGCCUCAGAUGUCUGUCCAGAUGUAAGCACUGCUGCAAAAGGUCCUAUGUUCCAGGUCCCAGCCUGUCUCAAAAUGGCCAAGGAAGUUCAUAAGGGUAGUAGUUUAUCCUUGACCAAGAGGGUAGCAUUGGACGAGGGAAUGUGGAGAACACAGGAUGUGUGCUACACACAAGUGUCCACCACAUUGCAGAAUUUCCUGAGAGAAACCAUGAGUGAAGACAGAGAAGAAGAAAGAAGACAGAGCAGGAGAGGACCAGGAAUCAGUGCAGGGUGCAGCAGCAGGAGAGAAAGGGCAGGCCAGGCUGAAGGGAAACGCGAGAACAGAGAGAGAGCAGCAAAGUAA
rnacentral:lncRNA from 1 species